rnacentral:rRNA from 1 species
AUACGUAUGGAGCAAGCGUUAUCCGGAUUUACUGGGUGUAAAGGGAGCGUAGACGGCAUAGCAAGUCUGAAGUGAAAUCCCAUGGCUUAACCAUGGAACUGCUUUGGAAACUGCCAGGCUAGAGUGCAGGAGAGGUAAGCGGAAUUCCUAGUGUAGCGGUGAAAUGCGUAGAUAUUAGGAGGAGCACCAGUGGCGAAGGCGGCUUACUGGACUGUAACUGACGUUGAGGCUCGAAAGCGUGGGGAGCAAACAGGAUUAGAUACCCUGUUAGUCCACGCUGUAAACGAUGAUUACUAGGUGUUGGGGGCCAAAGGUCCUCGGUGCCGCCGCAAACGCAUUAAGUAAUCCGCCUGGGGAGUACGUUCGCAAGAAUGAAACUCAAAGGAAUUGACGGGG